GCGAAUUUCCUACAUUUCUGUACGUUCUACCUUGGUCCUAACCAGUCUUAGGUUCUUCAUAGUAUCGGGAUUUAGGCAGCCACCUGCCUUGGCAGUCGCAAAGGUUCAUUCCUAAGUGAGCUGCUUGAUACAGAGCGGCAGCCAUCAGCAGACAAGAUGAUACAAUAUAGGCUUUCUAAAUUUCCUUUGCUGAUAUGCUGUUUCAUACUUACAAAUACAAGAUACGCAGGUUUGUAUAGCAUUUUAGCACAUUGUUCUUUUAUUUUUCCAGUGUAGUUCCGCAGUUUAUAUUAAAGUCCCAGUCUGUGACUCUAGUCACCUGCCUUUGCGUUUCGUAAUGUUUAAAGUAAUACCUUUGGUGUUCCGUUAGGGCUUGCGUGCGCUCUGUAUAUAAACGCAAAGCGCGAUGCGACUAUGGAGAAUCGAGAACACUUUAUUGCUUCAUCAGCUUACAUUUGAGCUUCGCUUUGAUAACUGGAGUACGUGCUAGCCCUAACAGA